rnacentral:rRNA from 1 species
CCUACGGGAGGCAGCAGUAAGGAAUAUUGGUCAAUGGAGGCAACUCUGAACCAGCCAUGCCGCGUGCAGGAAGACGGCCCUAUGGGUUGUAAACUGCUUUUGAACUAGAGAAAACCUUGGUACGUGUACCGAGUUGAUAGUAUAGUUAGAAUAAGCAUCGGCUAACUUCGUGCCAGCAGCCGCGGUAAGACGAAGGAUGCAAGCGUUAUCCGGAUUCAUUGGGUUUAAAGGGUGCGUAGGCGGACUGAUAAGUCAGUGGUGAAAUCUCUCAGCUUAACUGAGAAACUGCCAUUGAUACUGUUAGUCUAGAGUACAGAUGAUGUGGGCGGAAUAUGACAUGUAGUGGUGAAAUACUUAGAUAUGUCAUAGAACACCGAUUGCGAAGGCAGCUCACAAAACUGUAACUGACGCUGAGGCACGAAAGUGCGGGGAUCAAACAGGAUUAGAUACCCUGGUAGUCCGNACCGUAAACGAUGAUUACUCGUUGUUGGCGAUAUGACAGCAGCGACCGAACGACGAACGACGAGUAAGUAA